GCCUGCGCGACGCUCCACCGAGCAGCUGGAGUGUCGCGGAGGCUCGCAGGGGCAUCGCAAGAAGUAAGCACACAUACAUGCGCUGUGCGCAUGUGUGGCGCGCUGCACACGUUCAUGUAGUGGAUGCCGGGCCCUGCUGCAACCAUACCGGUUCUGAAGGAUCCGGAACCCACCACUGAAGAGAACUUAUCACUUUGUGUGGCAACCUGUUCCCUGGUUAUCAAUUGAUGCUGUGAUGAGUUUCUCCCAACUUCUAGCCUGAGUUUUCUUCCUAAUAGUUUUAACUAAUUGAUCCCACCUAGUAAUGGUAUCCUAUUUUCUUCACUACUGGUUUGGUAGGAGGAGUGCACGUGCAUCCACAGAAGGUCCUUGAUGACAUCUGGGUGGGUGGACAGAGCCUCACACCACCGCCACUACCGAUUCGCCCGAACAGGUGCGAACCAGCAGCAUACCACCUAUGGUUCCAUCUCUUCUUUUUGAGCAGUAUAUUCUGGGAUGGAUUCAGAUUCUUCUUGAGAAGGUUCUUUAAUGACUGGUUGCUCUUCUGAAAAUACAAGAGUAGAAGAUUUAAAGAAGAUCAAGAUGACACCAUGUCAUAAUCAUCCACCUGGAAGAAGAAAGAGAAAAGCUAAAGCAAGAAGACAAUUUGAAUUAUGCAAGUAGCAAGAUACUUUAGAGAAAUAAAUGUAAUUGUUACACAGAAAAAGGAAAGCACCUAAUACAGGAGAACUACUAUAGAUGUAAAUGCUAAGCUUUUGGGAGAAAAUGUUUCACAUAGAUUUAGCUUAUAACAGAGAGCUUAUAGACUCUCAA